rnacentral:rRNA from 1 species
CGCGUAGGCUGGACAGUAUGUCAGAAGUGAAAACCAUGGGCUUAACUCAUGGCCUGCUUUUGAAACUGCUGUUCUUGAGUACGGUAGAGGGAAGUGGAAUUCCUGGUGUAGCGGUGAAAUGCGUAGAUAUCAGGAAGAACACCGGUAGCGAAGGCGGCUUCCUGGCCCGUAACUGACGCUGAGGCGCGAAAGCGUGGGGAGCAAACAGGAUUAGAUACCCUGGUAGUCC